rnacentral:rRNA from 1 species
GGCGUCGAGCGGCGGACGGGUGAGUAAUACUUAGGAAUCUACCUAGUAGUGGGGGAUAGCACGGGGAAACUCGUAUUAAUACCGCAUACGACCUACGGGAGAAAGGGGGCAGUUUACUGCUCUCGCUAUUAGAUGAGCCUAAGUCGGAUUAGCUAGAUGGUGGGGUAAAGGCCUACCAUGGCGACGAUCUGUAGCUGGUCUGAGAGGAUGAUCAGCCACACCGGGACUGAGACACGGCCCGGACUCCUACGGGAGGCAGCAGUGGGGAAUAUUGGACAAUGGGGGAAACCCUGAUCCAGCCAUGCCGCGUGUGUGAAGAAGGCCUUUUGGUUGUAAAGCACUUUAAGCAGUGAAGAAGACUCCAUGGUUAAUACCCAUGGACGAUGACAUUAGCUGCAGAAUAAGCACCGGCUAACUCUGUGCCAGCAGCCGCGGUAAUACAGAGGGUGCAAGCGUUAAUCGGAAUUACUGGGCGUAAAGGGAGCGUAGGUGGCUCUAUAAGUCAGAUGUGAAAUCCCCGGGCUUAACCUGGGAACUGCAUCUGAAACUGUAGAGCUAGAGUAUGUGAGAGGAAGGUAGAAUUCCAGGUGUAGCGGUGAAAUGCGUAGAGAUCUGGAGGAAUACCGAUGGCGAAGGCAGCCUUCUGGCAUAAUACUGACACUGAGGCUCGAAAGCGUGGGUAGCAAACAGGAUUAGAUACCCUGGUAGUCCACGCCGUAAACGAUGUCUACUAGUCGUUGGGUCCCUUGAGGACUUAGUGACGCAGCUAACGCAAUAAGUAGACCGCCUGGGGAGUACGGCCGCAAGGUUAAAACUCAAAUGAAUUGACGGGGGCCCGCACNAGCGGUGGAGCAUGUGGUUUAAUUCGAUGCAACGCGAAGAACCUUACCUGGUCUUGACAUAUCUAGAAUCCUGCAGAGAUGCGGGAGUGCCUUCGGGAAUUAGAAUACAGGUGCUGCAUGGCUGUCGUCAGCUCGUGUCGUGAGAUGUUGGGUUAAGUCCCGCAACGAGCGCAACCCUUGUCCUUAGUUACCAGCGGGUUAAGCCGGGAACUCUAAGGAUACUGCCAGUGACAAACUGGAGGAAGGCGGGGACGACGUCAAGUCAUCAUGGCCCUUACGACCAGGGCUACACACGUGCUACAAUGGUAGGUACAGAGGGCAGCUACACAGCGAUGUGAUGCGAAUCUCAAAAAGCCUAUCGUAGUCCAGAUUGGAGUCUGCAACUCGACUCCAUGAAGUAGGAAUCGCUAGUAAUCGCGGAUCAGAAUGCCGCGGUGAAUACGUUCCCGGGCCUUGUACACACCGCCCGUCACACCAUGGGAGUUGAUUGCACCAGAAGUGGAUAGCUUA